rnacentral:lncRNA from 1 species
UUUUUUUUGUUUGGUCACAAGGGGCUGAGCUGUAAUUUCACUAGGCUUUUAGGUUAGUUUUGCAUUUGAUUCAAGUUUGGGUAUAGGUUUGGAAUUAAAAUCAAGUUGUGGGUUAGUUUUGGCAAAAACCCCAAUAAUAUAUAUUAGCAUAUAAAUUAGGGAAAUUGUCAAUAAUAGCACCUUUUGAAGUUUAUGUCUCAAAAAUAGCACUAGAAGGAGAAAGUCACAAAAAUGACAUUCAUUAAAGAGUAAAAUAUCCCUAAUACCCUUGGUUUAAAAUUAAAUAAACAAACAAAAAUAAAUAAAAUAAAAAUAAAAAAAUAAAUUUUUUUAUAGUUUCAGAUUAUAUGUUUUCAGAUUCUAAAUUUUUAUUUUUUUGAAACUUUUUUUCGAAAAUUUUUUUAUUUUUUUUUAAAUUUUUUUUUAUAAUUUAAAAAUACUUUUUGAAACUGUUUUUAAAAUUUUUAUUUUUUAUUUUAGUAUUUAUUUUUUAUAAAAUUUUAAACCCUAAUUCCAAAACCCCACCCCUUAACUCUAAACCCUAAGGUAUGGAUUAAUUAAC